rnacentral:RNase_P_RNA from 2 species
CCGGGGAGCCGGGCAGCCGCGUGCUUCGACAAGCUCGGAAGAGCAGGUCGGGGGCGAGGAAAGUCCGGGCUCCACGAAACGAGGGUGGCGGGUAACGCCCGCCGGGUACGGGGCUUGCACCCGGGCCCAGGGAAAGUGCCACAGAGAAUAUACCGCCGAUGGAGCGUGAAGCUCACAGGCAAGGGUGAAAAGGUGCGGCAAGGGCGCACCGGGGGGCCGGCAACGGUCACCGCAUGGCAAACCCCACCCGGAGCAAGACCGAAUAGGGGCGGCGCGUCGGUUUCGUGCCGGCAGGCGUGUUUCGCGUCAGUCGCCCGGGUUGGUUGCUAGAGCGGCCUGGCAACAGGUCGCCCAGAUGAAUGGCUGCCACCGCGGAUACGGUCCCGCAUGGGAUACCGUCCGCGGUACAGAACCCGGCUUACAGGCUCCCCGGCACA